UGGGGAAUAUUGGACAAUGGGCGAAAGCCUGAUCCAGCAAUGCCGCGUGCAGGAUGAAGGCCUUCGGGUUGUAAACUGCUUUUGUACGGAACGAAACGGCGAGCUCUAAUAAAGUUUGCUAAUGACGGUACCGUAAGAAUAAGCACCGGCUAACUACGUGCCAGCAGCCGCGGUAAUACGUAGGGUGCGAGCGUUAAUCGGAAUUACUGGGCGUAAAGCGUGCGCAGGCGGUUAUAUAAGACAGAUGUGAAAUCCCCGGGCUCAACCUGGGACCUGCAUUUGUGACUGUAUAGCUAGAGUACGGUAGAGGGGGAUGGAAUUCCGCGUGUAGCAGUGAAAUGCGUAGAUAUGCGGAGGAACACCGAUGGCGAAGGCAAUCCCCUGGACCUGUACUGACGCUCAUGCACGAAAGCGUGGGGAGCAAACAGGAUUAGAUACCCCCGUAGUCCCUGAGCGGGCUGGCAAGGCGCAU
rnacentral:rRNA from 1 species